AUAUGCAAUAAAAGUUUUUAAUCUUAUCUACCUAAAAUAUAUACACAGCCAAAACAUGCCCGAUACGCUGUCAUGGCAUAUUGAAAUGUAAAAGUGUUGGACAUAUAGUUUACUAACAUCAAAAAUUAACAUCCCUAAAAAAUCUUAUUCGUUGAUAAAUCAUCUUUUUUGUCAAACUGUGUAAUAGAGAUUUCUGAGUCAAUUGAGCUAAGAUAUACUACAAAAUAAAAGUUUACAAAGAAAUGAGAGAUGAUAGGUAAUAGAAAAGUUUUCUGAAUGAACAGCAAAUAUAGGACAUACAGCGUUUCACGGGAGAAGAGGGUAUGACUGCUUUGUGAGGAAAUACUUCGUGCAAGUUAGUCAGUUUUCUAUUUUUCUGCAUUCUAAUCAAUGAUAAAAUGUUAAUUUUCAGACUUUUUAGAUUUAAUUUCUAAUGUAUUGACUACAGAAGUAGUGAUAGUAAUUGAUAAAAAGAAUAUACAGGCUAAGGAGGAAGAACCACAGAUUCGUGAAUGAAAGAUUUGCAUGUUUUUAAAAUUUAUAGUAGAGAAAUGUUCUCAUGAAUUUACCUGUGAUUAACCUUUUGUAGAUCAGAUGAUCCCAUCAGAAUCCAAACAAAAGGAAGAGGAAGAAAAUUCUUGGGAUUUAGAGAGUGACCGUGAGACUGUUUCACAGAAGGAUGUGUGUUUACCCAGGACUGCACCUCAAAAAGAAUUCCACAUGAUAAGUGGAAAAUUAGAAGAUCAGAUGAUCCCAUCAGAAUCCAAACAAAAGGACAAAGAAGAAAAUUCUUGGGAUUUAGAGAGUGACCGUGAGACUGUUUCACAGAAGGAUGUGUGUUUACCCAAGGCUACACCUCAAAAAGAAUUCCAUACAAUAAGUGAAAAAUUAGAAGAGUCUCCUCAUAAAGAUGGUCUUCUGAAGUGGAUGUGAGUUCUGUAGAGUCUAUAUUCAGGUAAGACUUUGCUGUUUUUAAAAAAAAAAAAAACAUAUAUAAUGUUAAGUCAGAAAAUACAGAGAAAAGAGACCACUAUCUGUCGAGUAUUCUACUCUGGGCUAGACAACGUAUUAUGUGCUUAAUAUUUAUCAUCUCACGUAGUCAUCACACAGCUUUGGAAAACAUCUGUGCUACUGUCACCUACUUUGUAUUAAUGAGGCAAAUGUGGUUCAGAGAGGUUGAUUAAUUAGCCUAUGAUUUCAUAGCUAAAAAGUAGCUGACCCUUAAGUUUGCCAUCAGCCUACCUUGCUCCCAAAUCCCUUCUCUUCCCUCUCGACAUAGAUUGAUGGAGACCUAUGUAUCACUAGGAUCAAGGUAUAGGUCCAGAUGGGAUCAAUUCACAAAGUCACAUUUUGUUAUACGUUAACUCAUUUUAAAGAUUUCCCUUAGAACACUGGUUAAUCCAAGACUUUGUUCUAACAUGUUUAACAGUUAGAGUGGUAACCAGUACCCUGAUUUAUCAUCAAAGUUUUUAGAGCAGAUCUGACUUAGCUGUGGUGAGAAGACAUAGGUUUUUGUUUCAUAAGCAAGACCAGGUAAAUCCUAUAGAUGAAUUAUUUUACUCUUAUUGGAGAGUAUCUACAUAGAGAUAUGUUAAUCAUAUUUAGAGGCUAUUUCUUAUAGAUUUCUUGGUUUACUGACUUCCCAGCUUAGUUUUUCUUCAAAGCAGUACCCUGCCUAGUUGCAUG
rnacentral:lncRNA from 1 species